rnacentral:rRNA from 1 species
UACGUAGGGUGCAAGCGUUGUCCGGAAUUAUUGGGCGUAAAGAGCUCGUAGGCGGUUUGUCACGUCGGCUGUGAAAACCCGAGGCUCAACCUCGGGCCUGCAGUCGAUACGGGCAGACUAGAGUAUGGCAGGGGAGACUGGAAUUCCUGGUGUAGCGGUGAAAUGCGCAGAUAUCGGGAGGAACACCCGUAGCGAAGGCGGCACUCUGGGCCGGUACUGACGCUGAGGAGCGAAAGCGUGGGGAGCAAACAGG